rfam:Cavia porcellus supercont2_8 genomic scaffold, whole genome shotgun sequence.
GGAAGUGAGGGCAACCUGGCUGCAACAUCUGUCACCUCAUUGAAUGUCAUGGUUGAUCCAGCCGCUGUGGCUGGUAAGGCGGUUGUCUCCUUCCUCCCUCACCACUCAAUGGAAGAGGAAAACCACCCCGACGAAAGUGGGCCUUUUCCUCCAUCAAGGGUAUAGACAUAGCUGCACUUCUCAGCAAGCUCUCAAAAAUAACCAGUAAGAAUUUCCAUGGCGUUCUUCUGUUCCUAUACAUUUUUAUAAACAAAGUUAGUAUUUGCUAUAUGCAGUUUUAUUUAAUCUU